ensembl:antisense Gm44096 predicted gene, 44096
CCCGGGCCUUUGACAAGAUUGUAGAGCAACAAUAUUUAUGUGUCUCUUUGUAAGCUCUCAAAACUCAGGCUCUGCCCCGCAGCCGCCUUCUCUCAGAGCUUGGUGGGUCCCUGCGGAUGCCUUGGUGGAACCCUUGUCUGCCUCUUGGAGAACUUGAAGUGUGUGACUCAAGAACCCCCGAGUCUUUCUUUCCUCUCCUUCUUGGUCAAGAACCAGUGAGUUCGGGCUGGAGAGAUGGCUCAGCGGUUAAGAGCACUGACUGCUCUUCCGGAGGUCCUGAGUUCAAAUCCCAGCAACCAGAUGGUGGCUCACAACCAUCCUUAAUGAAAUCUGACGCCCUCUUCUGGUGUGUCUAAAGACAGCUACAGUGUACUUACAUAUAAUAGUAAAUACAUUUUUGGGCCGGAGCGAGCAGAGGUCUUGAGUUCAAUUCCCAUCGACCUCAUGAUGGCUCACAACCAUCUGUGCACUCAUAUACAUAAAAUAAAUAAUAAAUCUUUUUUU